GUAUGGUGCAAGCGUNAUCCGGAUUACUGGGUGUAAAGGGAGCGUNCACGGAGUGGCAAGUCUGAUGUGAAAACCCGGGGCUCAANCCCGGNACUGCAUNGGAAACUGUCAANCUAGNGUACCGGANAGGUAAGCGNAAUNCCNAGUGUAACGGUGAAANGCGUACAUAUUAGGAGGAACACCAGUGGCGGAGGCGGCUUACUGGACGGUAACUGACGUUGAGGCUCGAAAGCGUGGGGAGCAAACAGAUUANAUACCCUGGUAGUCCACGCCGUAAACGAUGACUACUAGGUGUCGGGCAGCAAAGCUGUUCGGUGCCGCAGCAAACGCAAUAAGUAGUCCACCUGGGGAGUACGUUCGCAAGAAUGAAACUCAAAGG
rnacentral:rRNA from 1 species